rnacentral:piRNA from 2 species
UGUACUGAUGUGGUGACUUCUCUGC